rnacentral:misc_RNA from 1 species
CAAGUGCAUUACGCUUUUCGGAUCGCUGGGAAGUAGGAAACUUGGGUGUUUGCGGCUGUGGACGCGCCACGCUCGCGAUGCGAGUGUGCAAACUACUGCGCAGGAGAGGCUGCGGCGAGACCGCCACUGUAUUUCGGAGACGGCCACCCCCAAGGGGAGGCCCAUUCCCUACCGCCAACCCCCGGGAGGGGUCUUGGGGUAGAAAGAACCCCUGCCAGGCCCGCCCUAUUAAAAUACGGUCCGUCCCAAGGGAUGUUGGGGUAUUCAAUAAUUCAUUGAAUUUUGCAAUUCAUUAAUUUAUCCCUUUUCCUUGCGUUCUUCUUGAUGCCCAAAACCAAAAAUUCGUUUGUUAAAAUUUUGGAUUCGUUUUCAAAACCUUGCCGAAAGGGCCCAAAAGGGGUCAAAUAAUAAAAAACCCCCCUGGGGGUACAAUAAAGACUUUUUGGGUGGACCCCCCCCGGCCCCUUGGGGCUGUG